rnacentral:rRNA from 1 species
CAAUAGCGUAUAUUAAAGUUGUUGCAGUUAAAAAGCUCGUAGUUGGAUUUCGGGGUGGCCUGCCUGGUCCACCGCAAGGUGAGUACUGGUCAGCCGCCCUUCCUCUCGAAAGCCCCGACUGCUCUUCAUUGCAGUGGUCGGGUAGUUCGGGACGUUUACUUUGAAAAAAUUAGAGUGUUCAAGGCAGGCUCUCGCCUGAAUACAUUAGCAUGGAAUAAUGGAAGAGGACCUCGGUCCUAUUUUGUUGGUUUCUAGGGCCGAGGUAAUGAUUAAGAGGGACAGUUGGGGGCAUUCGUAUUUAAUUGUCAGAGGUGAAAUUCUUGGAUUUAUGAAAGACGAACUAGUGCGAAAGCAUUUGCCAAGGAUGUUUUCAUUAA